GACGAACGCUGGCGGCGUGCUUAACACAUGCAAGUCGAACGGAAAGGCCCUGCUUUUGUGGGGUGCUCGAGUGGCGAACGGGUGAGUAACACGUGAGUAACCUGCCCUUUACUUUUGGAUAACUUCAGGAAACUGGGGCUAAUACCGGAUAGGAGCUCCUGCUGCAUGUUGGGGUUUGGAAAGUUUCGGCGGUUGGGGAUGGACUCGCGGCUUAUCAGCUUGUUGGUGGGGUAGUGGCUUACCAAGGCUUUGACGGGUAGCCGGCCUGAGAGGGUGACCGGCCACAUUGGGACUGAGAUACGGCCCAGACUCCUACGGGAGGCAGCAGUGGGGAAUAUUGAACAAUGGGCGGAAGCCUGAUGCAGGAACGACGCGUGAGGGAUGACGGACUUCGGGUUGUAAACCGCUUUCGCCUGUGACGAAGCGUGAGUGACGGUAAUGGGUAAAGAAGCACCGGCUAACUACGUG
rnacentral:rRNA from 1 species